rnacentral:lncRNA from 1 species
UAAAAAUUAAAACGUAUCUAAUUAAAUAGAAUCCACUAACUCUAAAUUCUGGAUCAACCAUUCAAUGUAUAGGAUCAUUACAUAUGGUGAAAACAUAGAAUGCCCCACCUCACGUUCUUUUGCUUCUCUAUGAACCUAUAGCUAGAAAUCUUCAUUAUUGAAAGUGAUUGAAAUGGAAUCCUUGGACGAAUUAUUGCAGCAUUCUUUUGACAAAAAUAAAAAUUGAACAGGAAAGAUGGCAAAAAGGAAGGCUUUACUAAAGCACAACAUUGUUUAUACACAACAUAGUGGACUAAUUUAAUCUUAACUACUAGUGCUACUGCUUUAAGACAGGUAGAAGAGAGAGAGAGAAAGAGAGAGAAUGAAGUUCUUGUUCCAGUGUCCAUGUUGUUCUUGUUUCUGCUUCAUGAAGCCACAAAAAGGCAAACCAAAAGCUAAAGUGGAAGAAGCCAAACCUAAAGAUAAGAAGGUGGAAGAAGCAAAACCUAAGGAUAAGAAGGUGGAAGAAGCCAAACCUAAAGAGAAGGAAGAAAGCAAACCAGAAUAAUGAUAGUAGAGGCAAUGGCAAAUGCAGCUAUAUUAUUCUAAUACAAGUAUUGUUCUUCAUUUUACAUUACUGCUUGUUUAUGGUGUUUUCCAAUUUCCAUCCAUAUAUAGUGAGCAAUCUUUGACACUUCUUUGGAAAACGCUAGUACUAUUUGUAUUUUUAUAAGAAAAUAAUUUCACUUUAUUUACUCUGAAAGGCAAAGGUAAUACUUCUGUUGCUCGAAUUCUUAAAAUUGCCACUCCUAAAAUAUGCAUAACUUUUGGUAGAUCCUAUACAUACGACAAUUUUUUUGAAGGAUAUACUAGGUUAGUAGCUAUUUCAGUUUUAAUUAGGAUAGAUAAUAUGAAGAUUGACUAGGGGGCAUAUUCUAAAUAUUCUAAGCGUGUUUUAUUGAAAAUUAGGACUUUUAAGUUCCUCUUUAGUCAGUAGAAUAUAUGUUUUAGUCUUUUAAAAAGUUAAAUUAGAUAAGAUCUGAGAACACAUAAUCCUUGAUCACUUUAUGUGGAUCUUGGAGUGUAUGACAUAUAAGCUGAAUUCUUAUUUAUUGAUAGUCUAUUUUCUUUUUGGGUCUGUGUAAAUAAAACCAAUUCACUUUUCCCUUCCUCUAAUAGAGACUACAGAACGUUCUUGUGAAUUAUAGCCAAUGUUGAGUAUAUAAAUUGUGAUAUUAAAUCCAGAGGUUAAUCGUAUUCUGCUAAUUCUAUGUAAGGCAGGACAGUAAUAGGAUGACAUUUUGACAAUCUCUUUAUGACCAUUUCUCCUCCUCCUUCUCCUUGAUAGCUAUGCAUUUUAACUCACCGAUAAAAAUGAUAAGAACCUUUUCAAUCAUGGGCUGCGUGUCGACUUUCCCUAUGACUCCUUGGUCGAUCCUUGACAGACCUCCCAAACCCUAGUGCCGUGUACGGCCUCGCGAUCUGUUAGUGUAAUUGCAUUUUAUUACUAAAAUAAAUUUUUAUAAUUCUCACUACUCUAUGAUGUAGAAAAUGAUCAUAACUCCUAUAAUUCCGACUACUCCAUGAAGUAGAAAAUGGCCAUAACUUUUGUAACUCUUCUCCCAUGUUCUACCACUAAUUAUCCCAUGUUCUUCAUGAUAUUAUAACUUAUUACCCCGCUUUCUUUCAAUUUAAUUCAAGGAAUAAUUCUUAUGCCUAUAAAUAGGAGUCUUUCCUUCAUAUUGUGGGAUGAAAAAAUAAUUAUAGAGAGCUUCUAUAAAGUGAGGUUAAAGUUGUGAAAAAAGAAGAAGAGAGUUUUUUUUACUUUUGUUGAAGAAGUGUGUUCAUCUUGGUGGAGCUUUUGACUCAAGAACUUGUCCAAAGUUUGUCCGAGACAUACGACCUGAUCAGACUGUUGUAUCUUGGGAGAAACAGUUCAAGAGGAUUACUGCUCCUGGACCAGUGAAAAACUUUGCUACAGUGGGCUUGAAUCUCCUUAAAGAGAGCGAGAUAUCCGCGCCUCAGCCUGAAGAUAUUUUAUUUAUUUUAUUUUAUUUUCAACUGUAAUUGUAUUUUCACCAAUAAUUUUAAGAUAUUCAAAUGGCUACAGUUGAAAAUCCGCGAAUAUCAAGGUGGAAGAUCUCAAUAAGCCAUUCCGUUUCAAAGGUACUCAUUUCAAGAGAUGGAAGGGUAAGGUACUUUUUAUUUGAGUCUUCUCAAUGUUUAUUACGUUUUAACUGAGAAGAAUCCUAGCAAAGUAGUCAACUCCUCCAUGAAUGAUGAUGAGCUAAUUGCCCUUCAAGAAAAAAUUGAAAAAUACAAUGAUGACUCAUACAAGUAUCGGUAUUAUCUUCUAAAUCGUCUAUAUGAUAAUUAUUAUGAUUAUUAUGAUAGAACUUACUCUACUGCCAAGAAAAUUUGGAAAUCAUUGCAGCAUAAGUAUGAUACCGAGGAGGCAGGUGCGAAAAAAUAUGAUGCUAGCAGAUUUUUUCGUUUUCAAAUGGUGGACAAUAAGUCUGUAGUAGACCAAGCUCAAGACUUCAUAAUGAUCUUUGGAGAGUUCAGAUCCGAGGAUAUUAAAAUUGGAGACAACAUUAUUAUUUGUGGCAUAAUAGAUAAACUACCACCUUCAUGGAGGGAAUUUAAAAAAACUAUGCAGCACAAACAAAAAGAAACUUCAUUUGAGACAUUGAUAAUGCGGAUUCGCAUGGAAGAAGAGGCAAGAGGCCAAGAUGUACUUAUGCAAUCAGAAAAGAGCACUCUACAACUAAUCACUACUUAAUUAGUUCAAAUAAAAUUACUCCUGAAACUCACAAAAAUACUUCUUUGAAGCCGAAGAAGAAAACUUUCAAAAAAAAGUUAUAGUAGACCUCUCAUGAAGAAUAAUGGUGCAAACAACCAAGCACAGAAUUAACAAGUUCAAAUUGCGAAACCAUGCUUUGUCUAUGGAAAGAGUGGGCAUAUUGCUCGAUCUUGAAAAUUUUGAAAAUGUGGUCCUACACCACAGGCAAAUGUUACCGAAGAGCCACUUGUGAUAGUGAUAACAAACAUUAACAUGGUAGAAAAUAUUGAUAGAUGGUGGACUGAUUCUGGAGCAAACCAUCAUAUUUGCUAUGAUAGAGAUUGAUUUAAAGUGUAUACUCCAUUUGAGGAGCCAAAAACUAUCAUGCUUGAUGAUUCUCACACAACCCAAGUGCUUGGAAAGGGAGAGGUCAAGUAAAAAAAUUUGAUGUCUAGUUUUCUUCUUAACAAGGCAUGCUUCAAACAAAUUAUUAAAAGUGAUCAAUAUGUAAUAGUGAAAAGUAUUUUUGUGGGUAAGGGGUAUGCAUGUGAUGGGAUGUUCAAGUUGAAUGUUGAGAUGAAUAAAACUACUUCAAGUUCUGUUUAUACGAUGUCUUCUAAUAAGCUUAUGCCAUAUUAAUAAUCGUUAUGUAGGAAUCAUGAGUAGUUUAGAAUUAAUCCCAAUGAUUAAAAAGAACUUUGAAAAAUGUGAGGCUUGUAGUAAAGCCAAAAUAACUAAAAGGCCUCAUUUUCAAGUUGAAAGAAAAUCUGAAUUAUUAGAAUUAGUUUACAUUGGUAUUUGUUAACUUGGAGGAAUUUUAACCCAUGGAGGAACUAGAUAUUUUAUCACUUUUAUUGAUGAUUUCUCUAAAUUCACAUAUGUUUAUUUGAUGAAAAAUAAAAAUAAUAUGUUUGAAAAUUUUAAAAAUUAUCUCCAUGAGGUUGAAAAUCAAUUUGAUAGAAAAAUAAAAAGAAUUAGAAGUGAUAGUUUAAUUCUUUUAUGAGAUCAUUGGGAAUAAUUCAUGAAACUACUCCACCUUAUUCUCCAUCAUCAAAUGGUGUGGCUGAAAGAAAAAAUAGAACUUUGGUAGAGUUAACUAAUGCCAUAUUUAUUGAGUCAAAUGCACCUUUAAAUUUGUGGGGUGAAGCUAUUCUGACCGCAUAUUAUGUGUUGAAUAGGGUGCCUCAUAAGAAAAUAAAGUUGACAUCAUUUGAGUUGUGAAAAAAUUACAAGCCAAAUUUAGGUUAUCUAAAAGUUUGGGGUUAUUUAGCCUAUUUCACUCUAACGGAUCCUAAAAUUUGAAAAUUGGAUAAAAAAGUUGCCACUUGUGCUUUUCUUGGUUAUACUUCUAAAUUAGCCUAUAGAUUUUUAAAUCUGGAAGAGAAUAUAGUUAUAGAAUCAGGUGAUGCUAUUUUUAUUGAAAAUAAAUUUUCAUUUGAGUCUAAAAUAGUGGGGGUCAAAGAGAUAAAAAUUAAUUUUUAUCUAUGCCUAGUUCUUCUACUUCUAUUUUGCAAAAUGAAGAAAAUGAUGCUUUUGAGUUAAGAAGAAGUAAACGAGCUAGAAUAGAAAACGAUUUUGGUCUUGAUUUUUAUGUUUUUAAUAUUGGAAAUGACCCUCUUACUUUAAAAGAAGCUUUAUUAUCGCCUGAUGCUAUUUUCUGGAAAGAUGCUGUAAAUGAUGAAAUUGAGUCACUAAUUUCUAAUAAAACUUUGAAGUUGGUUGAUUUACCACCGGUUGUAAAAUAAUUGGGUGCAAAUGGGUCCUUAAAAAAGUUAAAACUAGAUGGAUCGGUUGAUAAGUAUAAAGCUAGGUUAGUUGCUAAAGGUUUUAAGCAACUAGAAGGCCUAGAAUUUUUUGAUACUUUUUCUCCGGUAAUUAAAAUUACAUCCAUUAGACUUUUAAUUGCUAUUGAUGCAAUUUUGAUUUUCAUGUUUAUCAAAUGAAUGUAAAAACUGUUUUUUUAAAUGGGGACCUAAAUGAAGAAAUUUAUAUAGAUCAACCUGUGGGUUUUAUAGAAGCUGUCCAAGAAAGUAAAGUAUGUAAACUUACUAAAUCUCUGUAUGGCUUGAAACAGGAACCUAAGCAAUAGCAUGAAAAGUUUGAUUCCUGCAUGAUAGAAAAUGGUUUUAAAUAGAAUGAAUGUGAUAGGUGCAUCUAUUAUAAGUUUUGGAAUAAUUCACAUGUAAUUAUUUGCCUCUAUGUUGAUAAUUUAUUAAUAUUUGGCUCUAUCAUGAAUGUUAUUGGAGAAACUAAAAUCAUGCUUAGUGGCCAUUUUGACAUGACAGAUUUAGGAGAGAAAAAUAUCAUUCUUGGAAUGAAGAUUACUAGAACAUGUGAUGGAAUUUUCCUUGACUAGUCGUAUUAUAUUGAGAAAAUUUUGAAAAAAUAUAAUUUUAUUGAUUGCAAGCAUGUUGUAACCCCUUUUGAUUCAAGUGUUCACUUAUUUCCUGUACAAAGUGACAAUUAUGUGAUAAAUCAAAAGGAAUAUGCUAACUUAAUUGGAAGCUUGAGAUAUGUGGCUGAUUGUACUCGGCUUGAUAUUGCGUACACAGUAGGAGUACUUAACAGGUUUAUAAGCAAGCUAGGUAAAGAACAUUGGUAUGCCAUAGCAAGAGUUAUGAGGUAGUUACUUGGUACAAAAACCCAUGGCUUAUUUAUAGAAAAUAUCAUGUUGUACUUGAAGGCUUUUCUGAUGCAAAUUGGAACACUUUUUCUGGUGAUUCCUGUUCUACUAUAUGUUAUAUUUUUACUUAGGGAGGUGGUGCUAUUUGUUAAAAAUCGAAAAAGCAAACAAUAAUUGUUAACUCUACAAUGGAAGCUGAGCUAAUUGCUUUAGCUUCAGCUAGUGAGGAAGCGAAUUGGUUGAGAGAUUUAUUAUUUCAACAACAACAACAACAACCCAGUAUAAUCCCACUUAGUGGGGUCUGGAGAGGGUAGUGUGUAUGCAGACCUUACCCCUACCCUGGGGUAGAGAGGCUGUUUCUAAAUAGACCCCGACAUCCUUCCCUCCAAGAACUUCCCACCUUACUCUUGGGGAGACUCGAACUCACAACCUCUCGGUUAGAAGUAGGGGUUGCAUACCAUCAGAGCAACCCGUUUUGUCUAGAUUUAUUAUUUCAAAUUCCUUAUUUUGAAAAAUCAAUUCCUCAUAUUUUAAUUCAUUGUGAUAGAACCGCUGUAAUUGGUAGAGUACAAAAUCAUUAUUACAACGGUAAAUCCAGACCUAUAAGGAGAAAAUAUAGUAUUAUGAGAUCAUAUUUGACAAGCAGUACCAUUAAUGUUGAUUAUUUUAAGUCUUGUGAUAAUUUUGCAGAUCCACUGAUUAAGGCCUAAGCAAGAGACAGGGUCUGGAGCACAUCGAGGGGGAUGGGAUUGAAACCCAUAAGCUCAUAAGUCAUAUUUGAGGAAAUCCAAACUGGGGACUAGAGAUCCUAUAACCAGGUUCAAUGGGAAGAACGAAUCAUAUGAUGGCUUGAUUUAAAAUGCACUAUUUUUAUUAUUAUUCCAUCUCUAUAGUGUGAGUGCAUUUAUCCUGUAAUGAUUUUCGAGGUUGAGUUUUAUUAACUCUUAAUGUAAAAAUCUCUAGCUCGUAUAAGUGGGGUGUUAGCGUUACAGGAGUACCCUUGACAGAUUUCACCUAUGUAAAUGUGGAAGUAGACCGCUUCCUAUGAGAAUUGGGCUUGUUCUCAAAAACACUCAUGAAAACUGGGAUAGCACAAGGCCGUAACGUGCUUGCUAAUAAAGCUCAUGUCAAUAUCUUUAUUAUUAUGUGUAAGUAGUGAUAUUUAAUUUCCCUAAAGCAUUCAUAAUUCAAGUCUGAGAGCACUACUGAUUCUGGAGUAAAGAUCGUUGUUUUGUUAAGUGGAGGUUCAAUACAGAGCACACCUUCAUUAUGCAUGACAGUCUUCCUUCAACUGGUAAACUCUCUUAUAUAUUUAUUAUUAAAAUGAUUGGGGGAAUUUUAGUGUAAUUGUAUUUUAUUAUUAAAAUAAAUUUCUAUAACUCCCACUAUUCCAUGAUGUAGAAAAUGACCAUAACUCCAAUAACUCCCACUACUCGAUGAAGUAGAAAAUGGCCAUAACUCUUUUAUAACUCUUCUAUCACGUUCUACCACUGAUUAUCCCAUGUUCUCCAUAAUAUCAUAACUUAUUACCCCACUUUUUUCCAAUUUAAUUCAAGGAAGAAUUCUUACACCUAUAAAUAAGAGUCUUUCUUCCAUAUUAUGGGAUGAAAAAAUAAUUGUAGAGUGUUUCUAUAAUGUGAGGUUAAAGUUGUGAACAAAGAAGAAGAGAGUUUUUUUUACUUUUGUUG